rnacentral:tRNA from 12 species
GGUCCUGUGGUCUAGUGGUAUGAUUCUCGCUUUGGGUGCGAGAGGCCCCGCGUUCGAAUCGCGGCAGGACCC